rnacentral:snRNA from 1 species
AGCUUUGCUCAGUGGCAGUAUCAUAGCCAAUGAGGUUUAUCCGAGGCACCAUUAUUGCUAAUUAAAAGU